CCUACGGGAGGCUGCAGUGGGGAAUAUUGGGCAAUGGGCGCAAGCCUGACCCAGCAAAGCCGCGUGAAGGAAGAAGGCUUUCGGGUUGUAAACUUCUUUUCUCAGGGACGCAGCAAGUGACGGUACCUGAGGAAUACGCCACGGCUAACCACGUGCCAGCAGCCGCGGUAAUACGUCGGUGGCAAGCGUUAUCCGGAUUCACUGGGUGUAAAGGGCGUGUAGGCGGGAAAGCAAGUCAGAUGUGAAACUCAUGGGCUCAAACUGUGGCCUGCAUUUGAAACUGUCUUUCUUGAGUACUGGAGAGGUACACGGAAUUCCUGGUGUAGCGGUGAAAUGCGUAGAUAUUAGGAGGAACACCAGUGGCGAAGGCGGUCUACUGG
rnacentral:rRNA from 1 species